GUGUGCUCAUGCGUGAAUCAUGCGAGCAAGUAGCGCCUACUGAUAAUACUAACAUAUUUCUUUAAAGUUGUUUGCCGGCUAUCUGCACGUACAGUUUUGUCUCGUAUCUGGGUGUGAACGAGUGUGUUUCUUUCUUUCUUCCUUUCUUUCUUUCUUUUUACAAAGAAUAAUGGCUGACUCCGAUCGUGUUGUGAGCCCCAAGAAGGUAGCUGAAAAGAGCGAAAUUGCUGCAAUAAAAGCUAAAGACAAGACCUCAGGCGGAGACAACAACAGCAUAGAGGAACCAGAACUAGUAAAACAAGCGAUACACACUUCAUUACACACAUUUUCAAUGGUCCAAGUUCCCCAUAACUGUCCUAAAAACAAGCAGAUGGCAAGUGACGGUGUCUGCCGCGAAGUAGUGUAAGGCAGUAUUUAGUACGUACGUAUGUAAGGCGCGUCAGUAAUUAUACUACUGUUCGACGAAUACGACGAUUCUUUUGAGUUCAAUGUAUCCUGUAAAAGAACCCUUAGUCUUAAAGAACCUAUUCAUAUUUUUAACUGACAAAUGUUGCACUCCUUUAGAUCAGAUAACGUAAUCACAUGACGUUGUAACAGUAUUGUUGGGUUGAUUGUGUUUCUUAAUUUAAUCGUAUGUGUAGGUACCUAUAUUGUAUGCACUGUGUUUUUGUAAACAAAUAAAUGUUAAUGAUUUGAGUACUUAUACUUGUGUUUUAAUACGAAUAUAACGAUACGAUUACGCGUCGCAACCAAUUUUGUGUAUCAUCAUAAUCAUCUAAAGAACUAUUUAACUAGGUAAUGGCUGGAUAAUGGGUUUACAUUAAUAUUGACCCCGUGCGAGAUAUGUUAUGCGUAGGUGUUAGUCAUGUUUGAACUGUUAUAAGUAGGAUUUUCGGAGAGGAUCUUUAAUUGUCUCAUUAAAAAUAUUUUUGCUUUAGCAUCCACGCUGUGUCCCCACAUGAUGAUACCGUAUCGUAGCCAUGCAUAUGCAUAAGCACAGUAUGCAGAAUUGCAGAUAGGGCACAUUAUGUGUUAGUGUUGGUUUUGAGUACUUUUAGUCCGUAUGAGAAUUGUGACAGUUUUACUUCGGUGGCGUCUACAUGUUUUUCCAAUUUAAGUGAGAGUCUAGUGUUAUACCUAAUAGUUUAAAUUCUUCUACUUCUUCUAUUUUAAAGUUGUUAGUUAUAUUGUUAAGGUUUACUUUUUUCUUUUGGUAUGGUCUGAAUUAGAUUAUUUUUGUUUUCUUAUUAUUAACUUCCAGGUUCGAUAAUUUGAGAAUUAUACUCUUGAUUAUUUGCAGAACUUCUAAAGAGAAUGGAGAUGUCAUCCGCGAAGAGCACACAUAGAUGGUAUUUUCGGCAAGAAAGAGUAUACAGCCUAUCACGUUGCCUUGUGGUAUUGACCAGUUGGUAGUUAAGGUAUCCGACAGGAUACCUAACCCCACUAUCUUUUAAAAUUUACUUAUACUUUGAGAUCGGUGAAACUACGUAUGAUAGGUUUUAUCCCGGAAUUCUCACGGGAAUGGGAACUAUGCGCUAAAAUCCUGGGCUCUCUAUCUUAAACACGACUGUACAAUAUUCCAUGCAGACGAAGUCGCGAGCAAAAGCUAGUACAUAUACUUAGUCUGGCCAUAAAUACUGUUACACUUAAAAAUAAAAAAAAUAUUACAUUUGAAUUUGGAAUCUGUCAUUUUUAUACGAUUUUGUUAAUAAAAUUGUGUUUUCUCAAUUUGGCGCCAAUACAUUGUACAAUAUUUUGCGAUAUUAAAAUGGAGUGGGGCGAUAAAGAGAACCGAAUCGCUGUGAUUGCAUUACACAAAGUAGGUAUGGAGACAAAUGUAAUUUUUAAAACUCUCCAUACACUUGGUAUUAGUAAAAUGUUUGUGUACGGGGCUAUUAAUAGGUACAAUGAGUCUUCUUCUGUUUGUGACAGAAAAAAAUCUGGCCGGCCACGUAGUGUUCGUACCAAAAAGGUGGUCAAGCAGUAAGGGAAAGAAUUCGAAGAAAUCCUGUCCGAAAGCAAAAUAUUUCAUCUCGGGAAAUGAAGAUAGCACCUAGAACAAUGUCGCGUAUUUUAAGAGAUACUUAAGACUUAGGACUUGCAGCCUAUAAGAGACGCACUGGUCAUUUCUUAACUGAUAAUUUAAAGAAGAAUAGGGUGGUAAAAUCGAAACAACUACUGAAGCUGAAGAUUUAUAGAUAAGAUUUUUUUUUUAAAUUGAGCAACAUUUUAACAAACUAAAUGACUGUAUUUAUGCUCAAAGCUCUAAGGAAGCUUUCCAAUUAAUCGACAGAGUGCAACGUGGACAUUAUCCGACUUCAGUGAUGGUUUGGUGGGGUGUUAGCUAGGAAGGAGUGACUGAGCCAUAUUUUUGUGAAUAAGGUAUUAAAACAUCGGCACAAGUGUAUCAAGAUACCAUUCUUGAGAAGGUAGUUACACAUGCAUCACAACAAGUAAAAAGUAGAUGUACGUCUACGAACAUGUGGUCGAAUCAUUUCACCUGACUGAUGUGACUUGGAUGAAAUAAUGCUCAGGUGAAAUAAGAACACCAAUAAGUGCGAAAAACUCUCCAGUGUAUCGGUGAAUCACGGCGGUGUCUACUGAUAAUGCCUAAUGCAUACCAUAUUUGUUUAAAACUGCUUUCCGGUGGACUGCUCGUACAGUUCUGUUUUGUACUUAGGUGUGAACGAGUGUGUUAACUUACUGACUAACUUAUCCUCGGAUUUCUAUACUAAUUGAUACGAGUAUUAAUAAUGGCUGACUCCGAUGAGAAAUGCGAGGAGGUAUUUGAAGACCAGUUUCAGGAAGUGGACGCGAAAAUGCAGUUCGCCGAGGGUGUAGCCAAGAAUAAUAAAAAAAAAAAGAUUCAACUCGACGAAUCAGUAAAAGACCAAGCUGUACAUGUGAUCCAAUCUCAACAUGGACCGGCAAAAUAGACCAGAUGCUGUCAGACACCCUCGCCCGCUACUCGUCUGUGGAAAGUACUACGUGUCUAAUAUUUUUUAUCUGAUCUUCAUCUCAAUUUACAUCAGUGAAUAGAAAUAGGGUAUCUUUUAAUUGAAUUAAUUUUACACAUUGUAUUAACCACCUACAGAUUGUACUAUUGUUUAUGUAUUUCAAUAUUAUUUUUGUUACAAGUUUUUUUUUAUGGCGGAGAGUAAUAAUAAUUGUAUGUAUUAGUAUUGCCUGCGAUUCAAUUAACCCCUGCACUGAUGUAUAUUAUAUUUAUUAUGAUGUUUAAGAAAAUAUCAUAUAUUUUUACACUAUGUAUAUAUUGUAUUAAUAAAAGAGGACGUUUCAAAAGUUA